ACAUCAUUCGGACCGUCGGUCUACCGAUUCACCCGCUCGGUGGAAGAUCUUUCCUUUCGUCGU
rnacentral:pre_miRNA from 1 species